GGUCCUGUGGUCAAGUGUUUAGAGUGUCUGCCUCGGAUGCGGGAGGUCGUGGGUUCGAAUCCCAGCCGAGCCA